rnacentral:rRNA from 1 species
UGGGGAAUAUUGCACAAUGGAGGGAACUCUGAUGCAGCGACGCCGCGUGAGUGAUGAAGGAACUCGGUUCGUAAAACUCUGUUCUAUGGGAAGAAAAGGACUGUACCAUAGGAGAAAGCUCCGGCUAAAUACGUGCCAGCAGCCGCGGUAAUACGUAUGGAGCGAGCGUUGUCCGGAAUUAUUGGGCGUAAAGGGUGCGCAGGCGGCUUUACAAGUUGGAUGUGAAAUAUUGUGGCUCAACCACAAACGUGCAUCCAAAACUGCAAAGCUUGAGUUAAGGGGAGGUAAGUGGAAUUCCUGGUGUAGCGGUGGAAUGCGUAGAUAUCAGGAGGAAUACCAGUGGCGAAGGCGACUUACUGGACUUAAACUGACGCUCAGGCACGAAAGCGUGGGGAGCAAACAGG